CAUCGCCUCUUCCUCUUCCGAGCCCGGCGGCUCCUCCGGUGAUGUAAUCCCUCCCAUGGCGAUUACUCGUGACGCCUCGACCACUACACUUGCAGGUGCGCAUCACGCGACGAAUUGAAUGGUCCAGAAACUGUUCGACAACGGCACCGGUCUCGCCUUCAUCACGCAAAUCAUCCGCCGAGGCAUCAUCUACAUCAACACCUCCGAUGUCCACUGCCCCAAGAAAUAAAGAGUCUCCUCGGUAAGUUCUUCACAUCUCCAUGGAGUCCGCGAACCACACGAGGCAAAGUUGCUACGCGGGUCCAAACGACGAUAUACAAAUCGACGCAUCUGCGCCCGAGAAGUGUCAGAUGACGAAACGAUGAUGAACAGAGAACAGGUGGUGGAGAAGAGGCGGUGGUUGAAGAAAAUGGUGCUCGAUCAGUUGCAGGAGUAGAAGACAAGGCUCUUCGCAACUUCUUGGAGGUACACAGACAAUCAUACACAUAUAGCUUAAGGAUGGAUGCAAGACCUUUUCUCUAAUUGAGCAUAACGACAUGGUGUAGAGGUAGAUGCAGAUGGUUAAUUCUGUCAAGAAGUGUGCACCAAGGUUUGAUGGAUUGAAGGACAUAUCAAAUGUGCAGAGCGGAACCAUUUGUACCAUGUGCUAAUCGAGAUGAGGGAAACCACCAGGGUGUUCUGUAGGUUCCGGUCUCAAAGUCCCUCAAAGCAUCCUUUAAGGUUGAUCCAUCCAAGGAAACUAAGUUUCAUUAUUUUUCCCUAGAGAAAAAGAGGAAGAUCUACAGAUUUGGUCAUGUUUUUGGACUGACUGUUGAAGGUAUUAGAUGUACCUACUCUGCUUGGCAUAACCGAAAAUUCUAUCGAUUUCAUAUUCAUGGUUUUGUAACAUGGAAUGGAGUAAUAAUUUAGCUAAAUUAAUGUUACAUGCAUUUACUUUCAGGUUUCGUUUAGGAGAUUUAAUUAUA